rnacentral:rRNA from 1 species
AUUGAACGCUGGCGGCAGGCCUAACACAUGCAAGUCGAACGAGUGGCGGACGGGUGAGUAAUGUCUGGGAAACUGCCUGAUGGAGGGGGAUAACUACUGGAAACGGUAGCUAAUACCGCAUACCAUCGGAUGUGCCCAGAUGGGCUUAGCUUGUUGGUGGGGUAACGGCUCACCAAGGCGACUAUCCCUAGCUGGUCUGAGAGGAUGAACAGCCACACUGGAACGGAGACAGGGUCCAGACUCCUACGGGAGGCAGCAGUGGGGAAUAUUGCACAAUGGGCGCAAGCCUGAUGCAGCAAUGCCGCGUGUAUGAAGAAGGCCUUCGGGUUGUAAAGUACGUGCAGCGGGGAGGCGUUACCCGCAGAAGAAGCACCGGCUAACUCCGUGCCAGCAGCCGCGGUAAUUC